AUUGAACGCUGGCGGCAGGCCUAACACAUGCAAGUCGCACGAGUGGCGGACGGGUGAGUAAUGUCUGGGAAACUGCCCGAUGGAGGGGGAUAACUACUGGAAACGGUAGCUAAUACCGCAUACCAUCGGAUGUGCCCAGAUGGGAUGAGCUUGUAGGGGGGGUAAUGGCUCACCUAGGCGACGAUCCCUAGCUGGUCUGAGCGGAUGACCAGCCACACUGGCACCGAGACACGGUCCAGACUCCUACGGGAGGCUGCAGUGGGGAAUAUUGCACAAUGUGCGCAAGCCGGAUGCAGCCAUGCCGCGUGUAUGACGAAGGCCUUCGGGUUGUAAAGUACUUUCAGCGAGGAGGCGUUACUCGCAGAAGAAGCACCGGCUAACUCCGUGCCAGCAGCCGCGGUAAUUC
rnacentral:rRNA from 1 species